CUUAUUUGGAAGUGAAAAUGACUGUGAAGAAAGCAGAAAUAUUAGCUUCUGACAUUAAUUCCAGAAGUUAUUUCUAGAUACUUAUGAUGUAAAAGAAAAACUAGACUGGAGACUGCUGUAUCUUUUUGUCUUGGAAAGAAAACUGCAUGAUCAGAUGGAUUCUGUGUAUCUUCAUAACAAGAAAAGAGGGGGAGCACUUUACUGUCAUAACCUGCACAGAAAGCUCACUUUAUAAAUUAUGGUGUCAAGGAGUGAUUACACGCUGUCUGUCUGAGGUAGAGAGCUGCAUGCCUGAGAACAUCAUACCACACCCGAGUUUUCCACUCUUCAAUCUCAGGACUUUCGUGUUGUCUGAUAUUGCCCCCUUCUAUUCCCUGGUGAUUAGUAUACACUAAAAUAUUGUAAAACAAACAAACAAACAAAAAACCAAAAAGAACUUGCCUUGAAAAACCCGAAACUAGAUGAAAAUCUCUGUAAACAAGUAGCAUUUGAAUGCUGAUUUAAACAGUUAACUGUCUCUUUGUUUACAGGGCAACUCGAAC